rnacentral:rRNA from 1 species
AUUGAACGCUGGCGGCAUGCCUUACACAUGCAAGUCGAACGGCAGCACGGGUGCUUGCACCUGGUGGCGAGUGGCGAACGGGUGAGUGAUAUAUCGGAACGUACCUUAUUGUGGGGGAUAACGCAGCGAAAGCUGUGCUAAUACCGCAUAAUCCCUAAGGGGGAAAGCGGGGGACCGUAAGGCCUCGCGCAAUUAGAGCGGCCGAUACCUGAUUAGCUAGUUGGUGAGGUAAAGGCUCACCAAGGCAACGAUCAGUAGCUGGUCUGAGAGGACGAUCAGCCACACUGGGACCGAGACACGGCCCAGACUCCUACGGGAGGCAGCAGUGGGGAAUUUUGGACAAUGGGGGCAACCCUGAUCCAGCAAUGCCGCGUGAGUGAAGAAGGCCUUCGGGUUGUAAAGCUCUUUUGUCAGGGAAGAAACAGCAGCUCUAACACAGUAUGCGAAUGACGGUACCUGAAGAAUAAGCACCGGCUAACUACGUGCCAGCCGCCGCCGUAA